GAGCUCAUUGAUCAUCAUAACAGAGUCUAUUGAAAGUCCUCAGCAGGCGGUGUGACGAUGUGACCAGCUCUGGCCAAGGAGCUGUAGGCAGAAGUGUCUUGCAGCAGCUCCUGUAAAUCUUAAAAGACAGCUGGUGCGUGUCUUUUUUCCUUUUUUUUUCCCUUCCCCCUUCCUGCUGCGCUGAAUAUGGAUAUGGUGAGUGAAUCUAGAGCAGCCAUUUGGAGGUAUGAAGAGAUCUUGGAAAUAGAGGCCAUGUGUGUUGAAACAAGACCGAACAACUCCAAGUUCCUGAAGACUUCAUUUCACCAACCCAGAACCUCCUUGAUCAUCACAGUGGUCGAACCAUUUUACAUUUUCACCAGCAAUGAAGGAGGGUUCCUGUUGCUCUACCAUUUGGUACUGUCAGCGUUUUGGAUAUUAGCCGUCCUAAUAGCCUUUGCAUGGAUGAUUGUCUGUCCUCUGUUGGGCCCCUUCUGAAGAGUUGGAGUUGGACUCUGAAUACCUCAAGAGUGGGAGAUUGGUCUUGCCAAUCAGAGAAGCUCCAGGGCUAGCCUAGUGCCUGGCACAUGCUUUAUACAAUUAUUCCCAAAUCUUCUAAACUGACAGUGAGGGAGAGUAAUUUGAAAGGACUGCUCAACUCAACGUCAUUUGAAGAUUUGCACCACAGCUGCAUUUUUCCAAUUUCCUGGCAUCUAUUCUGCUCUCCUGGACUUUUCAAAAACAAUUUCUUUCAGAUCCCUGGAGGCCUCUCCCAGGGCCUGUGGUGUGGAGAGUUGGACUUGACCCUACUGUAAGAGACCCAACUUCCAAAGACUGCAUCAGAUGAAAGGCUCUCCAUAUAGACUACAGACUUGUCAGCUGGUUAAGGAGGCAAACAGAACAGUCUGCUACAAACUCCAGUCCAUGUAUCUGUGCUGAAAAUAAAAGGAGUCUUCAGGAAUCAAAGAAGAAAAUAUUUUUAUAAAGAAAUUUUAUUGCAUAAUUCUUG
rnacentral:lncRNA from 1 species